AAUCAACGCUGGCGGCGUGCCUAACACAUGCAAGUCGAACGAGAAAGGGGCUUCGGCUCCGAGUAAAGUGGCGGACGGGUGAGUAACACGUGGGUGAUCUGCCCUCCAGUGGGGGAUAACAUACCGAAAGGUGUGCUAAUACCGCAUGGAGUUCCGGUUGUCGCGAUCGGAAUGAAAGCAGCAAUGCGCUGGAGGAGGAGCCCGCGUCGGAUUAGCUAGUUGGUGGGGUAACGGCCCACCAAGGCUACGAUCCGUAGCCGGCCUGAGAGGGUGACCGGCCACACUGGAACUGAGACACGGUCCAGACUCCUACGGGAGGCAGCAGUGGGGAAUUUUGCGCAAUGGGGGAAACCCUGACGCAGCAACGCCGCGUGGACGAUGAAGGCCUUUGGGUCGUAAAGUCCUGUCAGCAGGGAAAAACACAAUGAUGGUACCUGCAGAGGAAGCUCCGGCUAACUUCGUGCCAGCCGCCGCCGUAAUAC
rnacentral:rRNA from 1 species